GACAUUCUAACGAUUUGUUGGGAGCAGAGUCAACACAAGUACACAGAGAGAAGAUUACUAGCUGUUGAAUGUUGCUCCUACAUACCAAUAUCAGCUGCUGUUAGAAACUCGUUGAUGCUGUCAAUGCGCUUCCGGAGUAGUACUACCGGAACUGAGGCAUCUCAAAACGUUGGUAAAUCAAUGCCUACCUCAGCAAGAAGAUGCAGUGCGUUUCUUGCUCAGAGAAGCGGAGUGCAGGCAGUAUUUACUGAAUGAAGCCAAUAGAUAGGACACUCGACGAGCUCCGGGUUUUCCCUAUCGAUGACGACGGUGAAUGUCUGCCAAGGAUAUGCGCCAGAAGAUGAACAAGAUCUCUUCAACAGAAAAUUGAAUCGCCCAGCAUGUCGAGUAUUUUCCGCAAGAAGUAAACUCCCCUUUGUGUCUUAUAGCAAGAAAUUCUGUGUGAGAAAAUCGAGUAUCACGUCGGCAAGAGAUUCGCGAGUGCAAGCACAAAAAAUUGUUAGGCAUAAAUGUAUAAUGUUGUUUCAACGAAUGUUAACUUAUUUUUUUAUCGCGCUAGCUCUAUGAGUGACGUGUAAAUUAUUUUGUUUAAAUAUUAACACGGUCUGAGGAGUUUAGAGAUGAGAAAAGACGAAUGUUUUUUCACGUUUUGUAAAAUUCGGAUGUCCAUUGUGUCUGCACUCUCGCAGCGUUUGGAAUUUUCUCACUUUCUCAUGAUCCUCUUUAGGUAAAAGAAAAGAAAAAGAGUAAAUUCAAAACGCCACGAUUAACAGUAAUUAAUGUUUAAUUUCGAAGUCUGUCACUUUACAUAGUAAUAAACAAACGUCAUAGAUCAUAUAUCAUAUCAAAUUGUAUAUCGCAUAUCCGCAUAUACAUAUAUAUAUAAUA